rnacentral:lncRNA from 1 species
AAUUUUUGUUAAAUCAUAAGAUUCAAUAAUUUUGAAAAAUCCUCUACAUCAGCAGCUACCAUAGGAACACCACCAUCUUCUCAGUUUUAUUUAGUAUAACAUCAAAAUCACCACCUAUCAUCCAUUGUAAUCUUGCCCCAUCUUAUAUAGAAAAAAAACUAUUCCAUAAUUGAAGUAUUUGAUGCUUGUCAUAUUUAGCAUACACAACUGCGACAAAAAAUACAUUACCAUUAAAGAAGAGUAAUUUGUUGUUCAUUAUCCAUAAUAAUAGAUGCAUCAAAUCUUUGAUUAAUAAAAAACCAAACCUUUCCAAAACAAUUAUGAAAAAACAAAAUUCUACUUCUAUAGCUGUUAAUGAUUCUUAUAUGUUAAAAAGGUUCAAGCAAAGCAAUGAAAUCAAAAUUAUGGUUUUGUGUAGCAUCUGUACUCUUUGAAAGGCAUUUUGUGAUCUAACAGAUCUGAUGUUCCAAUUAAUGGCUUUCAUUGAUUUUCAGACAUUUGUGAUCCUCCAUUUCUCUUUACUUGGGUUUUACUAGGUUGAGACAUCCCAGUAUUAAUCUAUUUUUUCCGUGCUUUGCAGUUUUGAUGACUUUCAUAUCCCUUGGAUAUAAAUCAACAUAUCUCAAAGCAUUAUCUUUACCUUGGCAAUCAACACACUUUUUCCCAUCUUCUAGUUACACAUAUGAGUCUACUUCCUCAAUAUUAUGAGCUAUAAUGUUGUGAAGGACCACAUUUGGUGACUCAAUGUUACAACUCUAGACCUGAGAAUCAUCAAUAUUUAGUGGGACAUCAAUUGUGACCAUAGAAUUAUUCUUUGUUAUUGAAUUAUCUCUACAAGGUUAAUCUUUGACAUCCUUUUCAUGUGUGGUAGCUGGUAUAAUUCUCAUAUCUUCUUCUUAAACUCAUUCUCAGCCUUUCUCGCUACAACAUCAUCAAGUUGUUGACCAAUUUUACCAACAGAUACACUGAUUGGCUUGAGAACCUUAUUAUUUAUUUGUUCUUGGCUACAUUUAUCUGUUGUACCAUCUCUACUACCCUCUUCAAUGUUAUCAAACAUAUUCACAAGGUACUAAUAUCUUCCUUAUCCUGUGUUAGUUGAUUCUUUUUAUGUGCUAAUCCAUCUUCCUUAUUAUGAGUUGCGGGAGUUACAUGUGUCUUCAUUUAAUAAGAUGUUGAACCAUCUUAAAUCUGCUCACUUAUAUCUACUACUUCUCUACCUUUCUAUAAUGAAGAUUAUUCAACGACAGAUGAUGACUUAAGAUCAUUAGUUGUCACAACCCGAACCAGGGCCUAGUCAUGAUGGGUAUCUCAAGCUCACCGUGGGUUGGAGACCACCCCCUCAGCAUUUCCUAAAGAUCAUAAUAAAUAUAAAUAGCAAAAGAUAACCCAAAAUACUAAUAAGAAAGAUAAUCAAAUGUAAACUCUAUAAAUCAAACAAACAUCUAACCCACACUUAUCCACAAAAGCCUGUAAACCAGAAUACCAAACUAGGUUGAGACACUCCCCCGACCAUGACGAAAAGAGUUCACAAUUCCAAAAAAUCUAAAAAACCUAAUGAAAUAGAAAGGUUUUUCAAAAGAUGGAGGCUCACCACUUCACAGAAACUUGACCAACGCACCACACUACCUAACGCUGCACAAGAGUAACAGAAAAACCCUAGGAUAAUACAUCAUGAAACGAUGUUGCAUCCUGGGAUAACCAGUGGGAUAAAAUUAGCAUGUAACUCAGGGAACGUGAUAACGUAGUGUCAUUUCCAAAACCAAUCAAAACUACAUGCACACACGUUCACAUAUAUAUAUAUAUAUAUAUAUAUAGAAGAUGUCAGGAUAGGGACAAGGGUCAUAAACAAGAUAUUAUAAAAUAUUAAUCUGGACUGUGUAGCUCUAUCCAUCCUAAGGGAACCCACUAUCUAUAUGGGUUUUGUUUCCCCUGAUGAAAGAGUCCUAGCGCAUGUAUCCACCCGAAUCAAGGAAAUUCGAAGGAGAGCCAAAGACGCUCUAACUAUUACAACUAUAUGAUGUGUGAACCAAGAACAUAGUCAUGUAUACACCCAUGCUGGAUAACGCAGUUUCUAGUAGUGGUCCCCUCCCCGAGACCUCCACCUUCAUGAUGAGCUACACAAUCCCUUUUAAGCCCAAAUUAAAACCAUUUUGCACAUAUUUCCAACCAUAAAUGAAGGAGUAUUACCACUUGGUAUCGUCAUACCAAUUAUGGUUGCAAGCUUAUAAAAUUAUGACAAUCCAUUACAAUUAAUCAAUUGCCUCCCAAGUUCCUUUAAAAAUCCAAAACCACGGUCACCAAGGCCGUUUAAAUCCAUUUUUUCCAUUUUACCUUUAAUGUAAUGCAAUAAUUUCAAAAGUGAGUUAAAUAAUGCAAAUUUCAUAUUUAAAACCAAAAUCAUGCAGGUGGGUUGAGGUUAAUUCCAUUACAAAUAAAAAAUUCAUCAAUUUAGGGAAACCCAUGUUCCCGAUUCCAAAUGCCACAAUAAUGUACCUAUUUAGUCCAAAAAAUCAUCAAUUUAGGUAUAAUGGGAAAUAUAAUUCAAGUGAUAACCAUCAAAAUCCCUAAACCCAAGAAAUACCAGAGAAAUUCGAAGGAAAUUUGAGGUCUAGAGCUUGGGUGACUAAUUGCCUUGUUAGCCCUAAUGUUCUUGCCUUGGGAGUUAAAGAGGAGAAAAUAGUGUUUUGAUUUGAUUAACUGAAGAUAAUAAGGUCCCUUAUGUGUUUUUUCCCUUAUGUGUUUUUAAGUCGUGGAAAUAGUGUGGAGAGAUGAAAAUACCAGAAUAACCUUAAUUAAAAUGUGUAGGAAAUUAUGUGCGUAAUCGUCACGACUAAGGUAACAACUAGUGACGAAUGACCACGAGUCAUUACCUGGACUCAUUACCUGAGGACUGAAAACCCUAUACCUCACUGUUAUGACCAUGAGAUGCUCAUCACGACUCGUUAUCAAUCAUCACGAGUCAUGGUGAAGACUCGUGAUCAAGGUAAUACUCCUGGGCAACCCUACUAUUCGAACAACGAAUCCCAUCUCCCAACGUGUCAUGUGAGGUUACGACUCAUUACCUGAGUCAUUGUCCAUGUAGUGUUCGACUUUAAUUCAGAAAUUUGUGAGAGUUUAUCAUCUAAGGGGCUUAGGGUUCAAGUACAUGAGGUGUCACAUUACCCCCCCUCCCUAGGAUUAUUCAUCACUAAAUGAGAAGUUAGGGCUCCUUUAGCACGAUAACAGAGAGUUCACAACCAAAUUUCCAGAAAAAUUAAGAGUGCAAUAAGAGGGAAAACAUAACCCUUCAAGCAUUUUCAUCUGCGAGGAACAAGAAUGGAUACUUGGCCUUCAUAUCUUCUUCAACUUCCCAUGUAGCUUCUUCCACCUUUUAAUUCCUCCAAAGCAAUUUUACCGAAGCUAUAUCCUUAGCCCUCAAUCUACAAACCCACCUAUCCAAUAUCUCAACUGGGACUUACUCAUAAGAUAAUGAAUCCAUCAUACAAAUAUCCUCAAUAGGCACAAUCAAAGAAGGAUCAGCCAAAAACUUUUUAAGCAUAGAAACAUGGAAAAUAAGAUGAAUAGAACCUAAACUCGCAAGCAAAUCCAACUCAUAAGAAACAUUCCCAAUUCAUCUUAAAGACUGAUAUAGACCAAUGUAAUGGGUAUUGAUGUUCCCCUUCUUCCCAAAUCUCAUGACUCAUUUCAUAGGAUAAACCUUCAAGAAUACCCGAUCAAUAACCCCAAAUUCCAACUCCCUUCGCUCAUAUCCGCAUAUGAAUUUUGGCGACUCUGGGCAGUCUUAAGUCUUUCUUUAAUCACUUUCAUCUUCUACAUAGAUUGAUGAACGAAGCUAGGAUCAAACAACCUAGACUUACCAACCUUAAACUACCCAAUACGAGACUUACAUCUCCUACCACAGAGAGCCUCAAAAGGAGCCAUCCGAAUGCUAGAAUGGUAACUAUUGUUAUAAGCAAACUCAAUAAGCGAUAAAUGGUCAACCUAACUACCUUCUAAAUCAAUCACACAGGCCCUUAGAAUAUCCUCCAAAGUCUAAAUAGUCUGUUCCGCUUGUCCAUCCAUCUAAGGAUGGAAAGCUUUGCUAAGGUUCACUUGAGUACCCAAACCUUUUCGGAACAAAUCCUAAAAGUGAGAACAAAACUACGUAUCUCAAUCUGAAAGGAUGGACACCGUCGCUCCGUGCAACUCAACAAUCUCCUGACUAAAUAACUUUCUGCAAUUCUCUCAUGAGUAAUUAGUUCUCAUAGGAAAAAAGCGAACAGGCUUAGUCAUCCUUUCCACAAUGACCCUAAGAGAUUCAUAUUGAAUGCGAUCCCAUGAAAGACCCAUAACAAAGUCCAUAUUGAUCAUCUCCCACUUCCAUACUGGAAAGCGUAUCUCGUGAGGCAUGUGACUAGGCCUCAAAUGUACACUUAGCCAAAAAGUUAACCAUAUCUCUCUUUAUAUUAUUGCACUAGUAGAUUUCCUUCAAGUAAUGAUAUAACUUAGUCAAACCUGGAUGAAUUGUAUAUCUAAACUCAUAAGCCUCAAUAGAAAUUCUUUCCCGCAGACCAUCAACAUCGGGAACACGCAACCAACCUUGAUACCUUAUAUUGCCAUCUCCCCCAAUCGCGAAAGUCAUAACCUUAUACUGACCCAUAUUAUUCUUAAUCUGCAUAAGUAUGGGAUCCUGCUUCUCUUUUAACUCAACACCAACAGAUGAUUUAAUUAUUUCUUGAACAAUCACUCUCCCAUGUUUAGAGUCAAAGAUUCAAACUCCCAAGUUGGCAUACAUAUGGAUAUCCUUCACCAACCUCCUUUUCUCUUUAUCAACAUGAGAUAAGAUUCCCAUAGAUAACCUACUAAGAGAAUCAGUAACAACAUUAGCUUUACCUAGAUGGUAGUAAAGGCUUAUCUCAUAUCCUUAAGUAGCUCGAACAACUGCCUCUGCCUGAGAUUCAAUUCAUUUUGUGUAAACACAUACUGAAAGCUCUUAUGAUCUUAAUAGAUAUCCAUAUGUACCCUAUAUAAAUAAUUGUGCCAAACCUUCAAAGUAAAACCACCUGCCACCAACUCUAAGUCGCGAGUCAAAUAAUUCAUCUACUAAAACUUUAGUUUCCUGAAAUGUAGGCCACAACCCUACCUGCUGCAUCAAGAUACAACCUAGUCCUACACGGGAUGCAUCAUAUUACACAAAAAACCCAUUAGUACCCUCUGGUAGGAUCAAGACUGGCAUAGGAUUUAACUUAUCAUUCAGCUUCUAAAACUUCCUUCAUAAGCAUCGGAUGAAAGAAACUUAAUAUUUUUUUGAGUUAACCUUGUUAAUGGAGCAACAAUAGACGAGAAACUCUCCACAAGCCUCCUAUAAUAACUAACUAAGCCCAACAAGCUCCUAAUGUCAGUUGAAGUCAUGGGUCUAGGCCAUUUCUUAACUGCCUCAACUUUUUGUGGAUCCACCUUUAUCCCCUCACUAUAAAUAACAUGCCUAAGAAAAUUCACAGUACUUAACCAAAAUUAACACUUACAAAACUUUACAUAUAAUUUUUUGUCCUUAAGAUUCUGCAACACAAUUUGGAGGUGAUUGGCAUUCUCCUCCUUACUCUUGGAGUACACCAAGAUGUCAUCAAUGAAGACUAUAACAAAUAAAUCCAAGAACUUUUUUAACUCCCAAUUCAUAAGAUCCAUAAAAGCAACCGAAGCAUUAGUCAACCCAAAUGACAUAACAAAAACUCAUAAUGGCCAUCGGGUUCGAAAAGUAGUCUUGGGAAUAUUAACCUCCUUAAUUUUCAGCGAAUGAUAGAAAGAACCAAGACCAAUUUAGAGAAAUAUCUAGCACCCAGAAGCUGAACGAAAAGGUCACUAAUCCUAGGAAAAGAGUACUUGUUCUUUCCUAUAAUCUUGUUCAGCUGAUGAUAAUCUAUACACAUCUGGAGAGACCCAUCUUUUUUACUUACAAAAAGCGCAGGAGCACCCUACGAAGAGACACUAGUGUGAAUGAAACCCUUAUCAAGAAAAUCCUUCAAUUGCUUCUUUAGCUCCUUUAGUUCAGCUAAAGCCAUUCUAUAUAGAGGAAUGGAAAUAGGACAGGUAUCCGAUAGAAGAUCAGUCCCAAAAUUUAUUUCCCAAUAUGGAGGAAUAACCGGUUGAUCAUUGAGAAAUACUUUAGGAAAUUCAUUAACCAUAAGGACAAAUUGCAAAUAGGGGCCUUUAGAGUUAAAAUCCUUAACUCAAACAAGAUGAUGAAAACACCCUUUGGAAAUUAUUUUUUGAGCUCUAAGAUAGUAAAUGAACCUCUCUUUGGGAACUAAGGAACACCAUUCCAAUUCUAAUACCGGUUUAUUAGGAAAGUAAAAACUGACCUUACGAGUCCUACAAUCCAGAGAAGCAUAGCACAGAUGAAGCCAACCUAUCCCCAGGAUUACAUUAAAAUCCUCCAUAUCAAGCUCUAUAAAAUCCACUAAUGUCGCCCUGUGAAAGAUGGACACCACACAAACCCUAUAGAUUUUCUAGCAACUAUAGAUCACCCAUCAGAGUAGACACCAAAAAGGGGUUGGAAAUAUUUUCAAGACCAAAACCAAAGUGCACAGCCAUAGAAGAGUUCACAUAAGAAAGGAUAGAACUCAGAUCACGAAAAAAAUAAAUAGUAUAGGAGAAGAGUUGUAAUAUACCAGUGAUGAUGUAGGGGGAUGCCUCAGAUUCUUUGCGAGUACCAAGUGCAUAUAUAUGAUUUAGGCUAGUGUCAGUACCUGAAAUGGAUUUCUUAGGUGCUUGAGCCAAAGAAGUGGCGAUCGAGACUUUAUUGGCUCUAGUGGCAACUUUUCCUAAGGGAAAAUCUCACCGUAUAUGAUCAAGUUGACCAUAAUUAAAGCACAAAUUUCUCACCUACUCACAAUACCUAUGGUGAAGCUGCCUACAUAAACGACAAAAAUAAAAAGAUGGGGCUGACUGAGCUCCACUGGCUUGAGUAGCUAUCGAAUAUGAAUUAGAACUUCCCUAAUUCUUCUUCUUAGUCCACUGUCUACCAUCUCUUCUACUAUUCCAUUGACUGGCACCUUGCUCUUAAACCUAAACUUCUUAUUCUACCUCUCUCUUAUCUCUACUUGUUUUUUUCUUUUCAUCCUUUACCUGCUGCAUAUAAACUACUAGCCUAGAGAUGUCUGUAUCAUUAUGCAACAUCGCAGCCUUGAGUUUUAAUACCAAAUCACAAGACAACCCAAAAGUAAACUUCCUUAUUCAAGACCUCAUACUUGACACCAGUUCAAGAGCAUAGAGAUACAACUGGUGGAACUUCAAACAUAAUCCUUGACACUCAUCUUACCAUACUUCAAGUUCACAAACUCCUCAGGCUUAGCUUUCCUCAACUUCUAAGGAAAGAAGUAAUCAAGAAAAGCACCUAAAAACUCAUUCCACUCUGGCCUCUUAACAUCAUCACCCCUCAGUGAUUGCCAUUUAUCAUACCAUGGAUAAUCAACACCUUUCAACUAAUAUGCAUCAAACACUAUACUUUUAGAAUUCAUUGUGUACAUCACCAUAAAGAUCUUUUCUAUCUCAUCAAUAAACCCCUAAGGAUCCUCAUUAACCUUAAAGACUAUAAUGGUUGGGGGAUUCAACCUCAUGAACUAGCCAAACUGAGUGACCUCAGAUGAAAGAGCAACAGAGCCAACAUAAUUAGACUAGUGAGACUGUAAGGCCACCAGUUAGGCAAGCACAUAAAUUGACUGGUGGAACUACAUUAGAGAUAUCACCCUGGGACAUCUAGUCAUAAGUAUCACUAGCCUGGAAAGCUUGAAGAGGACUAGUAGGGAUUAGUGGAACCCCACAUAGAGAGGUUAAGUCAGGAGCAGGGACCCUGACUUAGUUUGCAGUCCAUAAGUAUGGAAAGUUCCCUCUAAAAUUUCAUUAGGUAGGACAGAGGGUCUAGCAAAGUUUCUACAACUAUCAGACCUUCGAGGUGGCAUGAUCUAAAAUGCAAGUAAGCUAGAAGUUAGAGAAGUUUCAUAACACUAGACUCUAUAGCCCAAAAUGGAAGAUAAGAAAGGAAAACAUUCCUAAAUACCUUAUAGUCUCCCAUUCUAAGUAUGGCAUGCUACAUAUCCAUAAAAAGGACUCUACUCAACACAACUUUGUUCACACCCAACAAACUUGAACUAUGCUUAGAUACCAAGCUUAUGAAAAACCAAACUAGGGCCUAGUUGUGAUGGGUAUCUCAAGCCCAUCGUGGGAUGAAUGCCGCCCUCUUAGCCUAUCAUUCAGAGUAUAAUAAAUAUAAACUAUGGAAGAUAACCAUAAAUGGUAAUAAGAAAGAUAGAUAAUCAAGUGUAAACUCUAUGAAUCAAACAAACAUCCAAUCCACACUUGUCCACAAAAGCCUCUAAACUAGAAUACCAAUCUAGGCCUGUACAUGCCCUUGACCAUAACAAAAUGGAGUUCACAAUUUUCAAAAGUCUAAAAAGAAACCUAAUGAAAUGGCAAGUCUUUCCAAAAGAUGGAGGCUCACCACUUCUCAACAACUCAACUAAUGGUCCACAUCAUCUAAUGCUGCACAGGAGUAACAAAAAAACAACCCUACAUCAUAAAACAAUACAGGAUCUAAGGAUGGUCAAUUGAAUAAGAAAUGACAUGUCACUCAAUAAAAGUAAUAGAGUAAUGCCAUUUUUAAAACCAAUCAAAACCACAUGCACACAUGUUCAUAUAUACAUAAUAGGAUGUUGGGAUAGGUGCAAGGGUCAUGAACAUGAGAUUAUAAGAUAUUAACUUGGAUUGUGUAGCUCUAUCUAUCCUAAGUGCAACCAUGGGCUAUAUAAGUUUAGUUUUUCCUACUGAAAAGACCACAACACGUGUUAGCCAAAUGAACUGAGGAAAUCUAAGGAGAGAUAGAGACUUCAAGGCUUCAUCCAUCCCAAAAAUAUAAUGUGUGAACCAAGCACAUGGUCAUAUUCACCCCUAUGUCGGAAAAUAUGGUUUUUAGUAUUGGUCUCCUUGGGACGUCCACCUUCACUGUGAGAUACACUACCCCCUUUAAGACCAAAUUUAAACUAUUUUUUAUAUAUUCCCAAUCAUAAAUCAAUGAGUCUUAUUUUAAGGCAUUUUCAGAUUAGUUUCGUCAUACAAAUUAUGCUUGCAAGCUUAUAUAAUAAUGCCAAUCCAUUCCAAUUAACCAAUUGACUCUUAAGUUCCUUUAAAAAUCCAAAACCACGGCCACCAAGGCCUUUCAAAUCUGUUUUUAUCCAUUUGUCUAUUAAUGAUAUGCAAUAAUUUCAAAAGUGAGUUAAAUCAUGUAAAUUCUACAUUUAAAACCAAAAUCAUGGAGGUGGGUUGAGGUUAAUAUCAUUACCAAGCCAAAAUCCAUCAGUUUAAGGAAACCCAUGUUCCCCAUUGCAAAUUACACAAUAAUGAACCCAUUCAGUCUCAGAAAUAAUCAAUUUAAAUAUACACACGUCAUGUAAAAUAUGGCAAGUAUAAUCCAAGUGAUAAUCAUCAAAAGCCCUCAACCCAAUUUCAAACCCAACAAUUAAAUCACAUGAAAAAUGACUAAAACAUAUGCCAUAGUAUAAAGUUUCAGUUAGGGAUGAGAGACAUGCUUGAAAUACAAAAGAAAUUGGAAGAAAAUCUGAGGUCUAGAGCUUGGAUGACUAAUUACCUUGUAAAACCUAAUGUUCUUGCCUUGGGAGUUGAAGAGGAGAAAAUAGUGUAUUGAUUUAAAUAACUAAAGAUAAUGAGGACCAUUAUGUGUUUUAAGUCGUAAUAAUAGUGUGAAGGAAGGAAAAGACCAAAAUAACCUUAGUUAAAAUGUGUAGGAAAUUCAUGACCCAACCACCAUGACUCGGGUAAUGACUCAUGACGACUGACCACAGGUCAUUACCUGGACUUGAUACUUGAGGAUUGAAAGCUUGAUAGCUCACUGUUAUGACCACAAGUUGCUCAUCAUAUCUAAUUCUCAAUCAUCAUGAGUCAUGGUAAAGACUCAUGAUCAAGGAAAAACUCUUGGGCAACCCCACUAUUUGGACAAUGAAUCCCACCUCAUGACUUGUUACAUAAGGUAAUGACUCAUUACCUAAGUUGUUGCCCUGGCAGUGUUUGACUCUACUUUAUAAAUUUUCUAAUUCAAGAGUUUAUCACCUGGGGGUCUGGGGUUCAAUUACCUACGGUGUCACAUUCGCUCUAAUGUGGAAAGAACUAGAAACCCAGUCCUUUGUUGAUUGCUUCUCCGUUCUUUCCUUAUAUUUAUUACUAGCUUCUUCUGUAUUAUCUGAUGUAUCAACUACAUGGCUUGUUAUUUUUGGGUCACCAUUGUCAUAUGUUAAAGCUUUAAAAGGUUUAUUAUAGCAUAUUUUUUUAGUAGGUGAAAUAGGCUUCUCACUAAAAUAACCUUUAUUAGUGAAUCUUCACUAUCAUUCUAUUCUUGUGCUUUUUUUCAUGCCUUCCUGCUUUUUUCAGCCCUAGAUCUCAAUUCUUCAUGCUGAGAAAUGCUCUUUUUAUGAAUCUUCGAUUCAAGAAGUAGUACUCUGCACUAUUUCUCAUCAUGAUCUUAAAGUUUGUAUCUUUUGCAAUACUUUGUCAUAAAGUCAUAUUUGAUUCUUUCUCAAUCCUUGAAUUCCUGGUGAUAUCAUCAACUAUCUUUAUUUCCACGUAUCUAGAAAUAUUAGAUAAUAAGUCUACCUGGACCUUAACCUCAACACAACUAGGUCUUAUUUUAUUCAUUGUAGGUAAGUCUAAAUGAAUUGGUUUUCGAACUGCUGUAGCUAGAGAAAACAAUGAUUCUUUGACAAAACAAGUAGGCUCGAGAUUCGGGAAUGAAAUCCAUGCCAUGGCUUGAGUUAUUUCCUCCUCCAUAGUGAAUUUUUUGUCAGAGAUUAGGGGUCUCAUUUUAUGUGAAUAUCCAUCCUUUACAUUAAUGUAGUACCCAUUCUUGUCUAUUACAUUGACAAAAUCCUACGUUUGAUCAAAUCUCAUAAGGAUACGUCGAUUACAUAGUAAUCCAAUUUUGCGGUCACCUUUUAUAAGAGAAUUUACCAACUACUGCAAAUUCAAGUCCUUCAAUGACAUUCAUUCUAUCCACUUCUUCCUCAUUCUACCUCACACAAGGAAUACCAUUUACAAUGUUAACCUCCUUAAUCAAAAUAAGUUACAUUGCCACUUGUAGCUUUGCCUUCAGCAACAUGAAUCCUAUUAGAUUUAAAAAAACUCAAAAAAAAUUAUUUGGUUAGAUAGAGCAUUGGUCUCC